AUAAUUAAAAGAAAAGAAAAGUGGGAACUUGCGACUUAAUCUUCUCCUUUGACUCUCUUCUCGCGAAAAUCAGCAACUCUUCCCUUCCAUAACUUAUAUCUCCGACCAUCUUCUUCGUUUUCUUUAGUCUUCAACCUCACCUUCAUUCCAAGCUCCAUUUGGUCAAAUCUACGACAUCAUCUUCUCCGUUCUCUUUAGUCUUCUACCUCACCUUCGUUCCAAGCUCCAUUUGGUCAAAUCUCCAACCUCAUCUUCUCCAUUCUCAACUGUCUUCAACCUCACCUUCGUUCCAAGCUCCAUCUAGUCUAACCUCCGACCUUAGCUUCUCUGUUCUCUAAGUCCUCAAGCUCUACCUAUCACAAAAUAAUAAGGUAGAGUAGCAUAUAAGUUGAGGCCGAGGGCUCUUUUAGAUGAUCAAUCCGUCUUCAUUUGAAAACCAGAGCUUUCAAGGUAGUGAGGAGAGAAUAAGAGAAGCAUUUAUCGAGGUAGUGAUCUUUUGCUUUAGUGACUGGAUGUUCUAUUAUACAACUAUUCAUUUCGCAAGAAAAAGUUGACAGUUUCAUGGGUAUCUACAAGAGAUUCUAGGAUACAAUAUUCUUCUCUUAUGUGGAGGUGAUAGUUAUAAGUUCCAUACUGCUGGUAGAGAGGAUGUCGAUGUAGACCUUUCUUGGUUGAGAUACAGAACACAUGUCUUUUCCCAUUUGAGGUGAUAAUAAAUGAAAUACAAUCAAAGAGCUCAGAGAAUAAAUUUGUUGGCGUAAGAAAUCUUAAAGUUGAAGGCAGCGAGGGUUGGGCCCUGGUUCAAGAAGGAGAAGCAGUGAAGCAAGUUUUCCCUUUGAUGAAGUUUACAUUAGAGCAUCUUCAAAGGGUCUUCCAUUUACCAUAAGAGAGGUCAAAGCGUCAUAUAUUGGUCAACUUGUGAGGAUAUGUGGUAUUGUGACACGUUGUUCAAAUGUUAAACCAUUGACACAAGUGGCAGUUUAUACAUGCAAAGACUAUGGUUUCGAGAUAUACUAGGAGAUAACAGCUCGAGUCUUCAUGCCUCUGUUUGAGUGCCCAUCUCAACGUUCUAGAACAAACCAAACGAAAGGAAACUUGAAAUUCUUCAACUUAGAGCAUCAAAAUUUCGGAAGUUUCAGGAGGCCAAACUUCAAAAGUUAGCUGAGCAUUUGGUUUGCAGGCCAAACUCAAGAGUUUGGAAUUUCAAUUUUUGUAGGGUCCUAAUUUCUGUCUCUUAUCAACAAAAUGUAAAAUUUUAAUAUGACACCUAAUCAUCACUAACUUGUGCAGAGGCUGCAUUUUGUAAGUUUAGGAUGAUUUCCAUCAGCUCUUCACUGAUGGAACUAAAAAUUGAAAUUCCAAACUAAUUGGUCAUUGCAGAUUAGAGGAGACUUGCAUAUUUGUUUGAUGGAUGAUUCUGGAGUUGCAAAGAGUCAACUUCUUAAACACAUCAUCAAUGUUGCUCCAAGGGGAAUCUACACAACUGGUAAAGGGAGUUGUUCGAAAAAUAUUGAUUGUUGUCCAGCAGACAAGGUGUGGAAUUUUGGCAUCUUUAGCACAUUUUAGGAUCAAAACAAGAAACAUCACCCGUUAGAUUUGAAUACACUGAAAGGUCACAGAGAUUCUUCCUCUGGAUUAUGCUUCUCCUCAGAUGGAAGUAAUCUGGCGACUGACAAGCACGAUGACACCUUAUGUGGGGCAUGCAGUGAAAACUAUGCUUCAAAUGAAUUUUGGAUUUACUGUGAUAUCUGUGAGAAAUGGUUUCAUGGAAAAUUUGUUGUACAACGAAAUGCUUCAGUUUAUCAGUUUUCUUGUGAUGUAUUGAGUUUUCUAAAACAGAGUAGUUGUCUUUUGUU